GACGAACGCUGGCGGCGUGCUUAACACAUGCAAGUCGAACGGAAAGGCCCUGCUUUUGUGGGGUGCUCGAGUGGCGAACGGGUGAGUAACACGUGAGUAACCUGCCCUUGACUUUGGGAUAACUUCAGGAAACUGGGGCUAAUACCGGAUAGGAGCUCCUGCUGCAUGGUGGGGGUUGGAAAGUUUCGGCGGUUGGGGAUGGACUCGCGGCUUAUCAGCUUGUUGGUGGGGUAGUGGCUUACCAAGGCUUUGACGGGUAGCCGGCCUGAGAGGGUGACCGGCCACAUUUGGGCUGAGAAACGGCCCAGACUCCUACGGGGGGGAGCAGGGGGGAAUAUUGCACAAUGGGCGGAAGCCUGAUGCAGCAACGCCGCGUGCGGGAAGACGGCCUUCGGGUUGGAAACCGCUUUCGCUCAGGACGAAGCUGUGUGUGACGGUAGCGGGUAAAGAAGCACCGGCUAACUACGUG
rnacentral:rRNA from 1 species